rnacentral:rRNA from 1 species
AGGAGAAGUCGUAACAAGGUUUCCGUAGGUGAACCUGCGGAAGGAUCAUUGUCGAAACCUGCCUAGCAGAGCGACCCGUGAACACGUUCAACCUCGUGGGUGYUGGGGCGUUGCUCGGUGCCUCGUGUGCCUGCUCGCCCCUCUCCCAGGYUGGGGAGCUCCCACUYGUGGGCUGUUCCCCCGGCUAAACAACGAACCCCGGCGCGUAAAUGCGUCAAGGAAUAUAAACUUUAUGUGUGUGCUCUCUUGUCGCCCGGUUAGCCGGGCGUUGGAGUGGCGCCAUGUCUUAACAAUAAACGACUCUCGGCAACGGAUAUCUCGGCUCUCGCAUCGAUGAAGAACGUAGCGAAAUGCGAUACUUGGUGUGAAUUGCAGAAUCCCGUGAACCAUCGAGUUUUUGAACGCAAGUUGCGCCCGAAGCUUCUGCUGAGGGCACGUCYGCCUGGGCGUCACGCAUCGCGUCUCCCCCAAAAUCCACCCUUGGUGGAGGGGAAGGAGGAUGGUUUCCCGCGACUCACCGGUCGCGGCUGGCCUAAAAUUGGAGCCCUUGGCAUCAGGAUGCUGCGRCGUUAGGUGGUGAACAAGGCCUCGGCCAAGCAAGCAACCCGUCGCGCAUGCCGUGCCAGUUCGGGCUCGCAGGACCCUUUGUCGUUGUCCUUUUAGGCAACCAAACCGUUGCGACCC